AAAUAAAAGGAGAGCGUAAAACCAAAAGGAAUUUUAAAACAAUUUCUUAUCUAAAAUUAAAAUCCACAAUAUAUUUACUUUUUUCUAUCGACAUAAAGAUUGCAUGAUGAUAGUAACGUAAUUUGAAAGGAUUGCAGAAUGAUCUACGUCAGUAAUUCUUUUUUAGAUUGAUUUUUAUGUCAUUGCCAAUGCCAAAUCGCGCGAUUAAAACUGAUAUUCAGAAUCAACUUCUACAACUUAUAAAAACUUUAUUUAAAAAUAUUUUUAAAUAAGUAAAAAUUGAUCACUUAAAUCGUCAAAAGUUCGAAUAUUAUAUAAAUGUUAGAUUGUCGAAUGGUAACUGUCAAAGGUGACAGCAGCAGACGACACAAUAAAACAAGUUACAGAACACAAACCUGACAACCGAUUAGGAUCGCGGAAAAGCGAUGACAAAAUUAAUAACACGCAUUUUUAAAAAGUGGAUUAGACACCACGUGGCGCACGUUAUUUAGCGUUUUAAUUUUUACCUUUUAAAAAUAAACUGCAACAAUAAUAGUGCAGAUAACCAUCUAUACAAAUUAUUAUUAUUUACUAACUUUGCGAUGGCAGCCUCUCACAGAGUUAACGUAACAAAAAAUCAAAUAACGUCGCGAAAAAGCAGUGACAUCAUUUUAAUAGAUUAGAUUACCGAUUUUAUGCCUUAACUAUCAUUAAUAAGGCAAAAUGCGAGAAGUCGUGUGCUGGCUGUUGGUAGCGAUUGGUUAAAUGCAAUUUGUUAAUGGUUGUCUGUUAGUGGUGGUUGGUUGGGACUUGUUGUUUGGGAAAACAAAAUUAAUAAUUUCUUCACCAACUGCUUCUGCAAUUUGUGUACAAUGCGAAAAUGUACAAAUGCGAAAACAAUAUCAAAGUACGUUAGAAAAGAUAUUAUUAACAGGCGCAGAAGCGCUCCGUUUACAAUAGCAUUUUUAAAUAUAUAGCUUAAUAAUUAUUGAAUAGAAACAUAAUUCAACAUAAGCCUUGUAAUUUUAAUCUUUUUUUAACCUUAAAAAUUUUUUUAGAAUCUAUUACACGAAUUAUCAAAAGUUGACUGUUAGUUGUCAAAUUUGAUAGCAACAGAAUGAAGUAAGUCAUAAAACAACAUGAACGUGAUAACCAAAUCAAGCCAUCACCAAUCAGCAUCACGGAGAGGCGAUGGCAAAGUCAAUACAAAAUGUUUCAUUUUAAAUGCUGCAA